rnacentral:misc_RNA from 1 species
CUAGUGACAUAUGGCUUCUAGGUGUGUGCUAUAAGAUUUCACAAGAUGAGUCCUCCGGGGAUGCAGCUGCAAGCAAUGGAUUAGCUGCAUUCACACAUGAUUUUUCUUCGCGAAUUUUAUUGACAUAUCGAAGAGGUUUCGAUGCAAUUGGAGAUUCAAAAUUUAUCAGUGAUGUGGGCUGGGGUUGCAUGCUUCGAAGCAGUCAGAUGCUUGUUGCUCAGGCAUUGCUUUUUCAUCAUUUGGGGAGAUCUUGGAGAAAACCUUUACAGAAGCCAUUGGAUCAUCAAUAUGUUGAGAUCUUGCACCUUCUUGGUGACUCUGAGGCAUCACCAUUCUCUAUCCACAAUCUUAUCCAUGCUGGGAAGGCUUAUAGCCUUGCAGCUGGGUCAUGGGUAGGCCCAUAUGCUGUGUGCCACUCCUGGGAGUCGCUUGCCCGCUCCAAGAGAAAGGACAACCUUGAAUACCAGCUACUUCCAAUGGCUGUUUAUGUUGUUUCUGGUGAUGAAGAUGGGGAAAGGGGUGGAGCUCCAGUUGUCUGCAUCGAAGAUGCCUCUAGACAUUGUUUAGAGUUUUCUGGAGGUCAAGCAAAUUGGACACCGAUUCUUCUGUUGGUUCCUUUGGUUCUUGGACUUGAAAAAGUAAAUCCAAGGUAUAUUCCAUCUUUGCAGGCAACAUUUACUUUUCCCCAAAGCCUUGGCAUUAUGGGCGGGAAACCUGGUGCCUCAACAUACAUUGUUGGUGUGCAAGAUGACUGUGCUUUUUACCUUGAUCCACAUGAUGUUCAACCGGUGGUCAAUAUUAGCAGAGAUGGCAUGGAGGCAGACACUUCAUCUUAUCACUGCGAUGUCAUACGGCACAUCCCCCUGGAUUCCAUUGAUCCAUCAUUGGCAAUCGGAUUUUAUUGUCGAGACAAAGAUGAUUUUGAUGGAUUUUGUUCUUUGGCAUCCGAGCUGGCAGAUGACUCGCACGGUGCACCAUUGUUUACUGUGGCUCAUACCCGUAAAUUGCCAAAGCAAGUUGGCCAUGGCACUUUAAAUGAAAAUGAUGAGAUUGAAGAGGAUGAUUCCUUUGGUGUAAUGCCCAUGAAUGACGCAGAGGGUUGUGCACAGGAGGAUGAGUGGCAACUGCUUUAAUCAGUGUUCAUUUUGCAGAUUCGAAACUUGUACAUGUUUUGGCCUGAAAUGGGCUUAGUAUACCAAUUCCACAACAUCUCUUGUUAACAGCACUAGUCAACUGUGUUUCUUUUCAUUGUCUCUCGUGGUUCAACAUUUGUAGAAAAAAGUACAAUGGAACUCUUCAAUAUUUAUGAUUCUUUCAGGUAAUAAAAUUUGUAAGAUAAUGGAAUUGGUAUACUAAGCCCAUUUCAGG